rnacentral:rRNA from 1 species
AUGGGAAGCCCACCGAUGCCACCACUCUCUGCCAUCACCGGCCACCCCACCAUGGCCGGAACCGGGACCUCCUUGAGCCACAAGCAGAAGGUAAGAACUACCGGAAUAUCUAGGCUAACCGAUCCCGACGGAUCUAACAAUGGUAUCAGGCCAUCUAGGCUAAGAAUUUCAGUACAAAGUGCAUACACAGAAAGAAAAUCCCUCCCUCCCCACCCCUUCCCAAAGAACCCUAGCAGGGCAGAGACAAACAACAACAAAAAAGCAGAAAGUUCACCGGCAGAGGGCCUCGGCCCCCGCCGGCAAAGUGCGCCGCCACUCCGGCCGCGCCAGUCCCUCUCGAUCCGAACAGGCAUCGGCAAGCCGAGCCGUCCGGACGAAGAACAACCCCGCAAGGGGCAAAGGGCACUGCGACCAAUCCGCUCGACGGCGGCGCGCUCACCGCAAGGUGGACGCGCAACCGGCGAGGGGGAAGGCCACGGCGCCGCUGCCGUUCGAUCUGCCGUCGUUGAACUCGAAUGGGAGCAAAGGAGGCAGCAGGUUCUCGCUCUCUCUCUCUGCCACGGUGUGUUAAGGAUAAAAGAAAAGAAGAAAACAGAAGGAGAAAGGGAAAAAGUGGAGCCUCACCGCGCCGGGGAGCCUCGCUAG